ensembl:lncRNA CCDC18-AS1 CCDC18 antisense RNA 1
CGGCGGGAGCCGCCCGUUCGCGCUGCCAGCAGCUUCCGCCUGCUACGGUCCUGGCAAGCACCUCGGGAUCCCAUUCCUUCACAGGGACCCUAGCCAGGAGUCUCUGCAUUAGUUGGACAGCUCUUCUGGAAUUAUCUUCUAAGUCAACUGUGGGUUGGGUAGGUGGCUCUGCUGAUUUUUCGCUGGACUUCCACAUUUGGGACGAGUUGGCUGUCAUCAGCUCUAGAAAGGGUGUGGCCGUUUUACAUUGGCUGUUUUCCUCACAUUCCUCAAGCAGAAGUUCUCAUCAUGAUACUUUAAGGAUGAGGACAGCUGAUGUGGCUGGCCUGAAAAAUAAGGUGGCUGUAGCUACCUUCUGCAUAUGGAUAUCCAGUUUUCCCAGCACCACUUAUUAAAGAGACUGUCUUUUCUGCAGUGUAUAUUCUUGGCACCGUUGUUGAAAAUGAAUUCAUUGUAGGUGUGUGGGUUUGUUUCUGGGUUCUCUAUUCUGUUCAACUUGUCUAUGUGUCUGUUUUUAUGCCAGUACCGUGUCAUUUUAGUUACCAGAGCUCUGCAGUAUAAUUUGAAACCAGGUCAUGUGAUUCCUCCAGUUUUGUGGUAUUAGGAUAGGUUUGGCUA